UGAUACCAGGGUCAAAAGGUCUGACACCACGUGUGCUCGCACACUAGUGGUAGAAUGACCUUGUGACCCGCCCCAAUAUGAGCAUAAAAGUGGCACGUAAGCACCACGAUAUGCGAAUGUUGGGUAGGAUUGUGGGAGCACGUAGUGCGUAACAAUCCGUAGGUAUCA
rfam:Ruminococcus lactaris ATCC 29176 Scfld_02_15 genomic scaffold, whole genome shotgun sequence.